rnacentral:rRNA from 1 species
CCAGACUCCUACGGGAGGCAGCAGUGAGGAAUAUUGGUCAAUGGCCGAGAGGCUGAACCAGCCAAGUCGCGUGAGGGAAGACGGCCCUACGGGUUGUAAACCUCUUUUGUCGGGGAGCAAAGAGAGUCACGUGUGACUCAUUGAGAGUACCCGAAGAAAAAGCAUCGGCUAACUCCGUGCCAGCAGCCGCGGUAAUACGGAGGAUGCGAGCGUUAUCCGGAUUUAUUGGGUUUAAAGGGUGCGCAGGCGGGUCUUAUAGGCAGAGGGGAAAGCCCGGGGCCCCCCCCCCGGCCCCGCCGUUGAAACUGGCAGUCUCGAGUUGGCGAGAAGUAUGCGGAAUGCGUGGUGUAGCGGUGAAAUGCAUAGAUAUCACGCAGAACUCCGAUUGCGAAGGCAGCAUACCGGCGCCCGACUGACGCUGAGGCACGAAAGCGUGGGUAUCGAACAGGAUUAGAUACCCUAGUA